rnacentral:tRNA from 11 species
GGGGCUAUAGCUCAGGUGGUUAGAGCGCUUCACUGAUAAUGAAGAGGUCCCAGGUUCAAGUCCUGGUAGCCCCACCA